rnacentral:lncRNA from 1 species
CCUCCUGAGUUUGCUGUCUCCUGAGCACCAAGUAUAUACUGUGCUAGAUUUAAAAGAUAUUUUUUCAGUCUGCCUCUUUCCUCAGCUAGCCAGCCUAUAUUUGCCUUCUAAUGGACUGACCCAGCUUCCAAUGAUUCUUGGCAACUCAUUUGGACCUGGCUCCCUCAAGGAUUCAAGAAUGCAACCACUCUGUUCUGUGAGGCCUUCCAGAAGGACUUAUUUGUUGAGUUUUUGAUCCCAUGACCCUAACCUCACCUUGCUUCAAUAUGUGGAAGAUCUGUUGUUAGCUGCUGCCAUUUGUUCAGAAUGCCUUCAGGAAACAAGAGCUCCUACAAUUGCUAGAGGAGUUGGGCUAAUGUGUCUUGGCUAAAAAGGCACAACUCUGUGCUUCCCAUGCAUCGUACCUGUGGUAUGAGACCUCAAAAGGAAGAAAAACUUUGUCUCAGGCAAGGAAAUGGGCCAUUCUCCAGAUACCCAUGCCAACUACCAAGAAACAGGUACAAGAAUUUCUAGGUGCAGCUGGAUACUGUGGCCUCUGGAUACCUGGGUUUGCCAAGAUAGUACAGCCCUGAAAUCAACCCCUAGAGUGGAGAAGAAAAGAAGAAAAGGUGUUCCAGGAUUUAAAACAAGCUCUGGUGUCAGCCCCGACUCUGGUGUUGCCUGGCAUCAAUCACCAAACUGUUCCAACUGUUCACUCAUGAGGUUCUCAGUCUGGCAACACUGAUGCCACAUGAUGACCCCAAUACCCCAAUGCAUGACUGUGAGGAGGUGUUGGACCACACCUAGGGAGGCUGCUCAGACCUAAUGGACAUCCCCCAGCUGAGGCUGACACCACUCUCUUCACUGAUGGAAGUAGCAUGGUGGGAAAGUCCUUAAGUCACAUCUGCAGGGCCCUGUCCUGGCUCCAUGACUUUGAGCAGAAGAAACAGCAAGAAGAGGCCCACUGUCUCCUUGAACCUGAAGCCGGCCCCUCGCCUGAGGGGCAGACUUGCAUCCUGCAAUCUUGUCUUCCUGCCAAGCAUCCCCCACCACUCUGAGACCUACACAAGAGCCAGACUGGGUCACCAAGUUUGUGCAGAGGAAGGAAGGAAGGGACCUGGCAGAGCAAGUGAAGGAGAAAGAAGUGAGAGGAGUGGCUGCAGCAGGCCCUCAGGGUGGAUGAGGAUGAGGAAAACCUGGAAGAGGAACACAUCACAAAGGUUAAGAUGCUAAGGCCUAGAUCCUUCUUUGUCGGGCUGCCCUCCACAUGCACACACACACAGUCAUGCACCAUUUUUCUCUUUUCCUGUCCUUGCUCUGAAAUCCCUGAGGAGAGGGAGUGUCCAGCUCAGACUUCAUCUCUUGCUAUGGGAGAUGCAUGGGAGAUGCAUGCCUCCAUAGUGCUCCCGGACAGUGAGGGCCUGCCACAUGAAGACACAGCAGCAGGGACACUGCCUUUCCAAGAUCCUAAACCCUGGCUGAAGGCACAGUUGCAUGGGUGGCUUCCUUUGGUGCCAUGUGAUGCAAGGCAAUGCCAUGUUACUAGGGACCUGCAUUUGCAGCCACCUUCCUUGUUCCCUCAGGCCCUUGAUACUUGAUGUACAGAGAGCAUUUGGGGCUGUUAGCAUCCCCUCUUUGACUUCCCCUUCAUCUGCUCUGAGCAGAUUACUGCAACCAGAUGCUUUUGUCCUUUUGUCCUUGGCUCUAUUGAUAUAGUGUAUUACAUUGAUUGAUUUGCAUAUGUUGAACCAUCCCUGCAUCCCUGGGAUGAAUCCCACUUGGUCAGGGUGUAUGAUCUUCUGCAUUCUAUUUGCCAGUAUCUUACUAAGGAUUUUUGCAUCUAUGUUCAUUAGUGAGAUUGGCCUAUAGUUCUCUUUUUCAGUUGGGUCUUUCUCUGCUUGAACAAAGCAUUCUUGCAAGAAGUGAAUCUUAGGUUAAUGGGAACUUGUUCUUUCCCUUAUAUUAAAAUUAACUUCUUAUACAGGUUGAGCAAGAACCAUGGGCUUUUCAGCUGUAGAUACUCUCAGCUAAUACAGGCCCCACAGAGCCAUUAACCUGGGUUGGUCUCAGCCAUGGCCAGUGGCAGUUACAUUCUCUUUCUGCACACUAGCUGCAGCCAUUAAGCUGUGCACUUAUGCCUUAGACUAGUUCUGAAUUAAACCAAUUGUAUCUGCCAGUUGAAUAUAAUCAAAGCCAUGUCAAUACCAUCUUAAGGUAAUCUCCUUCAUGAGAUAUUCAGGAAGUAGUACUUCAAUCCUGGCCUUUAUUAAUAAUCCCUGUGAGCAGCAAUAUCCCUCACUGCACUUAGAAGUGUAUGUGAGACACUUCUAAGCUACUGUUCAAAUAGGGUUAGUUAGGUCCGGGGAUUUAGCUCAGUGGUUCCAACCCCUGCCUCGCAAACUCAAGGUCCCAAGUUCGAUCCCUGGUACCACAAAAUAAAACCCAAAGGCAGAACAAGGAAAACUAUCAUUACUCCUAAUGAACAUGAAUGCAAAUAGGGUUACUUAUUAAAUACACUUAACAUGUAAAUGAUGAUGAUGUGUUGUAAUAAUAAGAUUACUGAUUUAUUUAACCCUAAGUUGUCUGAAAUUAAAAAAUAUUAUUGUGUUAAUUAUGAAUAAAGUCAUAAACAGAAAAAACAUUUGAUUCAACAUAAAGUUUAUCUUAGGCAUUAGCUAUCUAAUUCUAAAUGACGACAGCUGUAUUUCUCUCAUUUUUAGUAAUAAACUAAAAUUUGUGUAUUAAAUGUGACAUGGCUAUAUUAUAAAUUUAGAUGUGUGUUUUUCUGAAG